CGUUCUAUUUGUUCUACAGGUUGUUGUAUCGUCUGCAGGUUCUUGGUUCCCGCACCGUCCCCGGGACUCGGAGUUGCCGGCCGCGGGUAGCGUAGGGGACAAGAGAUGCGUAGUUACUACCCCCGGCAGGAUGUGGGGAGAUGCCUCUCUCCCACGUUUCCCUCACCCACUCCCAGCCCAGCUUUGUGCUUUGACUUAACCUAAAUGAUGAGAUCGAUUAGGAAAGGAAUUGGAGACAAAACAAGACACUAGCGUUUUCUAAGGUGUCCACAGGGUCGGUUUCUCUGAGCCCUCUCCUGGGCUUGCCUACGGCUGACUUCUCACUGUGGCCUGUGCACUCCUGGUGUCUCUUUCCUCUUCUUAUAAGGACACCAGUCCUAUCCUUGAGGACCCCACCCUUAUGACCUUAUUUAACCUUAGUCACCUCCUUAAGUGCUCUGUCUCCAAAUACAGUCACACUGGGGGUUAGGGCUUCCAGUGCAUGGAUUUUGCGAGGGGCACACAAUUCAGUCCAGAACAGUUGGGAACUAUCUUGUCACUCUCUGUAUUUUCCCAUAGCACCUAGCACAGCGCCUUGCAAAAUGGUAAAUCUAGAUUUUUGUUAACAAAGUGAUAGAAGACCUGAUGGGAACUGGGAGAGGAGUUAUGACGUCAUUUAAAUCUAUUGUCUUAGCUCAUCUUUGUUUAUAAAAUUUCUGAGCUCUAUUCUGGAAGGUCCUAGUUCCUGCUUGGAACUUCAAAGUCUCCAGGACAAUGGCACAGAGGUGUCACAGUGGAUGUGGGAUCAUUGGAUGAUCACAGCAUGGCUUGGGGGCCUCCGUGGCCAUUCAUCUUGGUGAGCAGAGGUUGCGUUGCCACUUUGAACGAUUGGACUAGAACAUCUGUCUUGGCAUCCUGUCCCCUUCAGAACCCACGCUGGAUUCUUUUUGCUAAGAAAUGUUGGCAGAAAGAGAAGCCACCUUGAUAAAAGCUACAGUUGAGUGUGAACUUGCACAAGAUCUGGACCCACACAGGUGUUGUCAAAGGCUCAUAUGGCUAGUGGCCGCCAUAUUGAAGAGUGCAGCUCUUUUCUCCUCCUUGGGACAGAUGUGGCUGAAGAAAAGAGACUGAGGAGAUGUGCAGACACUCAAAGUGAAAUGUUAAGCUGACUCGUUACCCAAGGAGAGCACGUUUCUGUAGUUGUCCAGCAUCACGUCUCUGUAGAGGGCCUUCUGAGGCCAGUGCAGUGCGUCCCACUCUUCCCUGGUGAAGUACACAGCCACGUCCUCAAAGGCCAGCAACCCCUGGAAACACAGCGACUAACUGCAGCUGCGAUUCUUACAAUAACUUCGUGAGCUACAGUAUUACUAUUACAGAUGGUCAACACUGGAGGCUUCUCUGGCCGUUGGGUCUCUGCCGCAGUCACUCAGCUCUGCUCUGGUAGCACAGACGCAGCACAGACAACAGGAGAGCAAACGGGUGUGGCUGUGACCCAAUAAAACUACUCCCGGCUCCAGGAAACAUUUACUGAGCACCAAGAAGUCGCCGGCCUCCGGGCCACACGCCAGUGACAGUGAACGCACAGAGGUGACAGCUCCUGCUGGGCCCACAGGACCAGCUCCUCGGGCUGCGCACUGCUCGACUCUAGGGGACACUUCACAUGGCAGCUGUGACAACGGGGCCCCCAGAGCUGCUAAGGGCACAGCCUGUGCGACCCACGGAGCCCCAGCCCCGCUUCAGGGAGUGAAGGGUCCAGUGGGGAAGCGGGAGAAGUCAACACGGUGACGAUCUGGGGGUCCACGGGGGGCGACGGGGGCUGUGAGGACAGGGGCUCACCCCACCCCCUCCUCUCAGGAGGCACUGCCAGUCACAUCCCAGAAAACAGCCCCCGGGGCACAUGGCCCUCACCUCCUCCCGCCUCCCCACCGGCUCCCAGACACUCCCUGCAUCGGGCCUCACCCCUCCUCUCCUCUCCCUCCUGGUGACCCCUCCUCCUCGGGCCGAUUCCAUUCUCUCCUGUCUCCUCCAGGGUCUUAAUCCAAUGACCACGACUCUUCUGUCUUUGCCCUUUCCCCCCUUGUGAUACUCUGAUUUAAAUAAGAAAUAUAUAUUUGGU